AACGAACGCUGGCGGCAUGCCUAACACAUGCAAGUCGAACGAAGGCUUCGGCCUUAGUGGCGCACGGGUGCGUAACGCGUGGGAAUCUGCCCUUAGGUUCGGAAUAACAGUUAGAAAUGACUGCUAAUACCGGAUGAUGACGUAAGUCCAAAGAUUUAUCGCCUGAGGAUGAGCCCGCGUAGGAUUAGCUAGUUGGUGUGGUAAAGGCGCACCAAGGCGACGAUCCUUAGCUGGUCUGAGAGGAUGAUCAGCCACACUGGGACUGAGACACGGCCCAGACUCAUACGGGAGGCAGCAGUGGGGAAUAUUGGACAAUGGGCGCAAGCCUGAUCCAGCAAUGCCGCGUGAGUGAUGAAGGCCUUAGGGUUGUAAAGCUCUUUUACCCGUGAUGAUAAUGACAGUAGCGGGAGAAUAAGCCCCGGCUAACUCCGUG
rnacentral:rRNA from 1 species